CUACGUGCCAGCAGCCGCGGUAAUACGGAGGGUGCGAGCGUUAAUCGGAAUAACUGGGCGUAAAGGGCACGCAGGCGGACUUUUAAGUGAGGUGUGAAAGCCCCGGGCUUAACCUGGGAAUUGCAUUUCAUACUGGGUCGCUAGAGUACUUUAGGGAGGGGUAGAAUUCCACGUGUAGCGGUGAAAUGCGUAGAGAUGUGGAGGAAUACCGAAGGCGAAGGCAGCCCCUUGGGAAUGUACUGACGCUCAUGUGCGAAAGCGUGGGGAGCAAACAGGAUUAGAUACCCUGGUAGUCCACGCCGUAAACGAUGAGUGCUAGGUGUUAGACCCUUUCCGGGGUUUAGUGCCGCAGCUAACGCAUUAAGCACUCCGCCUGGGGAGUACGACCGCAAGGUUGAAACUCAAAGGAAUUGACGGGGGCCCGCACAAGCGGUGGAGCAUGUGGUUUAAUUCGAUGGUACGCGAGGAACCUUACCUGGGUU
rnacentral:rRNA from 1 species